rnacentral:rRNA from 2 species
CACACCGCCCGUCACACCACGGGAGUUGGAGACGCCCGAAGCCGAUUAUCUAACCUUUUGGAAGAAGUCGUCGAAGGUGGAAUCAAUAACUGGGGUGAAGUCGUAACAAGGUAGCCGUAUCGGAAGGUGCGGCUGGAUCACCUCCUUU